rnacentral:rRNA from 1 species
GACGAACGCUGGCGGCGUGCCUAAUACAUGCAAGUCGAGCGCUUAUUUCAGGUCCUUGUCCCUCCCACAUUAGCAGCGAACGGGUGAGUACCGCGUGGGAACCCUUCCUUUACGUCCGGGACAACGUGGGGAAACGCUUGCUAAUACCGGAUAAUAUCUUUAAACACAUGUUUCAAUAUUGAAAGAGGGUUUUGCGUCCCUUUAGGUGUCGCUCACGGUCGCAUCAGCGGUUGAUUAGCUAGUUGGUUAGGUAAGGGAUCACCAAGGCAACGACGGAUAGGGGACCUGGGAGGGGGAUCGGCCACACUGGAACGGAGACCCGGCCAAGACUCCUACGGGAGGCAGAGGAAGGGAAUCUUCGGCAAUGGGCGAAAGCCUGACGGAGCAACGCCGCGUGAGUGAUGAAGGUUUUCGGAUCGUAAAACUCUGUUGUUAGGGAAGAACAAGGGGGUAAGUAACUGAGCAUCACGUGACGGUAUCUAACCAGAAAGCCACGGCUAACUACGUG